AUAGUUUAAAAAUAACUUGUGCUUGAAAUCUUACGAAACGUCGCCUAUUACCCGUUACCUAAUACAGAUGCACAGUUAGUCGUCUUGCCGAGUGAAUUGUGGUGAAGUGUCCUGUGUUAUUAAUUUAUUUUACAACUAAAAAAAAAAUUUUAAAAUGGCCGAUUUAAGCAGCAGUGAAGUAGAAAAGGUCAACUUCGCCUUCCAAAUUUACGAUUUUGAUGGCAGCGGAACCGUCGAUGCCUUUUACCUUGGUGACCUUCUCAGAGCUAUAGACUUGAACCCAACCAAUGCCACCAUUGAAAAAAUGGGAGGAACCAAAAAGAAAGGUGAAAAGAAACUUACCGUAGAAGAAUUCGCGCCAAUUUUCAGCCAAGUUAAGAAAGAUAAGGAUCAAGGAGUAUACGAAGACUUCAUCGAAUGUUUGAAAUUGUACGACAAACAAGAAGAUGGAACAAUGUUAGGCGGUGAAUUGGUACACAUUUUAUUAUCAUUGGGUGAAAAAUUAACCGAUGCUGAAGUCAAUGAAGUAACCACUGACUGUAUGGACCCUGAAGAUGAAGAUGGAAUGGUCCCUUAUGUUCCAUUUGUUAAAAGAUUCAUGGUGAAAUUAAAAGACAUGAAUUAAAAAAUCUUCCUACCAAACUAUUUAUAUCUAUAGUUUAAAAAAAAAAAAUUGGCAAACAUCUGAUACAUUUAUGGCAAGAACUUGCAACAGACCAGUACCAGAAAGUGACAAUCCAUUUCAUUGCAUAUAAUCAUAUUACCUGCAUCAAAUACAAUACAAAAAAUUGGUAAUUUGAUACUUUUUUCAUUUCAUGUACCGGAUGCUAUAAGAUUAAAUUUUAUUAAUUUGUUUACAA